rnacentral:tRNA from 2 species
AGCCCCAUAGUGUAAUUGGUAACACACCUGAUUUUGGUUCAGUAUUUCGAGGUUCGAGUCCUCGUGGGGCUA